GACGAACGCUGGCGGCGUGCUUAAUACAUGCAAGUCAACUGAACUUAAGGUAGCAAUAUUUUAAGGGAGGUGGCGCACGGGUGAGUAACACGUAGGUAAUCUGCCUUUAGGUCUGACACAACCUACCGAAAGGUAGGCUAAUAUCAGAUGAUGCAGCGGCUCGACAUCGAGACAGUUGUUAAACCUUCGGGCCUAAAGAUGAGCCUGCGUCUGAUUAGGUAGUUGGCGGAGUAAUAGCCCACCAAGCCUGCGAUCAGUAGCUGGUCUGAGAGGAUGAUCAGCCACACUGGAACUGAGACACGGUCCAGACUCCUACGGGAGGCAGCAGUAAGGAAUAUUGCUCAAUGGCCGAAAGGCUGAAGCAGCAACGCCGCGUGGAGGAUGAAAUACUUUUGUAUGUAAACUCCUG
rnacentral:rRNA from 1 species